rnacentral:rRNA from 1 species
UACGUAGGGUGCGAGCGUUGCCCGGAUUUAUUGGGCGUAAAGGGCGCGUAGGCGGCUCGGCACGUCCGUUGUGAAAUCGCCCGGCUCAACUGGGCGGGGUCAGCGGAUACGGUCGAGCUUGAGCAAGCUAGGGGGCAAUGGAAUUCCCGGUGUAGUGGUGGAAUGCGUAGAUAUCGGGAGGAACAUCAGUGGCGAAGGCGGCUGCCUGGCCCAAUACUGACACUCAGGUGCGACAGCGUGGGGAGCAAACAGG